UACGGGGGGGGGCAAGCGUUGUUCGGAAUUACUGGGCGUAAAGGGCUCGUAGGUGGCCAACUAAGUCAGACGUGAAAUCCCUCGGCUUAACCGGGGAACUGCGUCUGAUACUGGAUGGCUUGAGUUUGGGAGAGGGACGCGGAAUUCCAGGUGUAGCGGUGAAAUGCGUAGAUAUCUGGAGGAAUACCGGUGGCGAAGGCGGCAUCCUGGACCGACAUUGACGCUGAACGGCGAAAGCUAGGGGAGCAAACGGG
rnacentral:rRNA from 1 species